rnacentral:rRNA from 1 species
GACGAACCGUGCGAACGUUGUUCGGAAUCACUGGGCUUAAAGGGCGCGUAGGCGGGCUGUCAAGUCUGGGGUGAAAUGCCGCGGCUCAACCGUGGAACUGCCUUAGAUACUGACGGCCUCGAGGAAGGUAGGGGCAUGCGGAACUUCCGGUGGAGCGGUGAAAUGCGUAGAUAUCGGAAGGAACGCCGGUGGCGAAAGCGGCGUGCUGGACCUCUUCUGACGCUGAGGCGCGAAAGCUAGGGGAGCAAACGGG